rnacentral:rRNA from 1 species
UAGGGAAUCUUCGGCAAUGGACGAAAGUCUGACCGAGCAACGCCGCGCGAGUGAAGAAGGUUUUCGGAUCGUAAAACUCUGUUGUUAGAGAAGAACAAGGGUGAGAGUAACUGUUCACCCCUUGACGGUAUCUAACCAGAAAGCCACGGCUAACUACGUGCCAG